UACUUUUGAGGCUCCAACAAAAUAAUCCC
rnacentral:piRNA from 1 species